rnacentral:rRNA from 1 species
GCUUACGGCCAUACCAACCUGGCUAUGCCCGAUCUCGUCUGAUCUCGGAAGCUAAGCAGGUUUGGGCCUGGGAUGGGAGACCGCCUGGGAAUACCAGGUGCUGUAAGCU